rnacentral:rRNA from 1 species
AUUGAACGCUGGCGGCAUGCCUUACACAUGCAAGUCGAACGGUAACAGGUCUUCGGAUGCUGACGAGUGGCGAACGGGUGAGUAAUACAUCGGAACGUGCCUAGUAGUGGGGGAUAACUACUCGAAAGAGUGGCUAAUACCGCAUGAGAUCUACGGAUGAAAGCAGGGGAUCGCAAGACCUUGUGCUACUAGAGCGGCCGAUGGCAGAUUAGGUAGUUGGUGGGGUAAAAGCUUACCAAGCCGACGAUCUGUAGCUGGUCUGAGAGGACGAUCAGCCACACUGGGACUGAGACACGGCCCAGACGCCGACGGGAUGCAGCGGUGGGGAAGUUUGGACAAUGGGCGCAAGCCUGAUCCAGCAAUGCCGCGUGCAGGAUGAAGGCCUUCGGGUUGUAAGCUGCUUUUGUACGGAACGAAAAGCCCUGGGUUAAUACCCUGGAGUCAUGACGGUACCGUAAGAAUAAGCACCGGCUAACUACGUGCCAGCCGCCGCAGUAA